rnacentral:tRNA from 1 species
GCCUGAGUGGCUCAGUGGUUGAGCAUCUGCCUUUGGCCCAGGGUUUGAUUCCAGAGUCCUGGGAUCGAAUCCCACAUCGGGCU